AUCCAGUUGACGAGUCCCGAACGGAACGAAAUGCGCAUUUUGGAU
rnacentral:hammerhead_ribozyme from 1 species